rnacentral:rRNA from 1 species
GAUGAACGCUGGCGGCGUGCCUAAGACAUGCAAGUCGAGCGGAAACACUUCGGGUGUCGAGUGGCGAACGGGUGAGUAACACGUGAGUAACCUGCCCCGAACUCUGGGAUAACUGCUGGAAACGGUAGCUAAUACUGGAUACGACCUACGAAGGCAUCUUCUGUAGGUGGAAAGAAUUUCGGUUCGGGAUGGACUCGCGGCCUAUCAGCUUGUUGGUGAGGUAAUGGCUCACCAAGGCGACGACGGGUAGCCGGCCUGAGAGGGUGACCGGCCACACUGGGACUGAGACACGGCCCAGACUCCUACGGGAGGCAGCAGUGGGGAAUAUUGCACAAUGGGCGCAAGCCUGAUGCAGCAACGCCGCGUGAGGGAUGACGGCCUUCGGAUUGUAAACCUCUUUUAGUAGGGAAGAAGCGAAAGUGACGGUACCUGCAGAAAAAGCACCGGCUAACUACGUGCCAGCAGCCGCUGUAA